rnacentral:rRNA from 1 species
GUGGGGAAUAUUGGGCAAUGGAGGGAACUCUGACCCAGCAACGCCGCGUGAAGGAUGAAGGUUUUCGGAUUGUAAACUUCUGUCGCGAGGGACGAAGAAUGACGGUACCUCGUAAGAAAGCCCCGGCAAACUACGUGCCAGCAGCCGCGGUAAUACGUAGGGGGCGAGCGUUGUCCGGAAUGACUGGGCGUAAAGGGAGUGUAGGCGGCCUUUUAAGUUAUAUGUGAAAUCCCGUGGCUCAACCAUGGAAGUGCAUAUAAAACUGGAGGGCUGGAGUGCAGGAGAGGUAAGUGGAAUUCCUAGUGUAGCGGUGGAAUGCGUAGAUAUUAGGAGGAACACCAGAGGCGAAGGCGGCUUACUGGCCUGUAACUGACGCUGAGGCUCGAAAGCGUGGGGAGCAAACAGGA